rnacentral:rRNA from 1 species
GACGAACGCUGGCGGCGUGCCUAACACAUGCAAGUCGAACGGGACCGCAAGGUUCAGUGGCGGACGGGUGCGUAACACGUGAGGAACAUAGCCAACGGCGGGGGAUAGCCGGCCCAACGGCCGGGUAAUACCGCGUACGACCUUUGGGGGGCAUCCCUGGGGGUGAAAGCAGCAAUGCGCCGAUGGGGUGCCUCGCGGCCUAUCAGCUAGUUGGUGAGGUAACGGCUCACCAAGGCUACGACGGGUAGCUGGUCCGAGAGGAUGACCAGCCACAUUGGGACUGAGACACGGCCCAGACUCCUACGGGAGGCAGCAGGUGGGAAUAUUGCGCAAUGGGCGAAAGCCUGACGCAGCGACGCCGCGUGUGGGAUGAAGGUCUUCGGAUUGUAAACCACUGUCGGGAGGACGAAGCUCUGACGGUACCUCCAAAGGAAGCACCGGCUAACUCUGUGCCAGCCGCCG